CUGACAGCAGUCUGUGCUGCUCCAGGGUUGGAAGUAUCUGAGGGUGGAGAUUACUGUGGCUUUUCAGUUUCAACAGCUUCAGCAGCAAUUUUUCACUUUGGGUUCUGAAAUUGCAAUUCCCUGUCACCAUGGCUACUGGAAGACUCUCACAACUGAGUUCCAUUAUCUGAGGCUUGCCUUGUUUGCUGUCAUAGUCCACAACUUUUUAAUUUUUGUCAAUCCAUUUCAUUUGGAGGAGGUGCACUGGGCCACCAACCAAGCAUUUAGUGCAGCAAACUGUCCUCCUCGAACUUGGAUUUGAUUCCCCAGUUCCUGCUGUUUCUGAUUGAAUUCUUUAUGGGGCAAGUUGAAUCUAAUACUCCUGGAGCUGGCAUGCAGAUUUUUGUUUUGUUUUUUGUUUUUAGUGGUGAAUUUAUUUAUCAGAUUUAUACACCCUCCCUGCCAGCAAAGGCUCAGGGUGGCUGGUUACCUUGAACUGUUAAGAUAGUUGCUUCAAUCCAGCAUCUGCUGCUAAUCUUCAAUUUGCCUCUUAUUAGAUUUCAC